GCAAGUCGAGCGGUAGAGAGAAGCUUGCUUCUCUUGAGAGCGGCGGACGGGUGAGUAAUGCCUAGGAAUCUGCCUGGUAGUGGGGGAUAACGUUCGGAAACGGACGCUAAUACCGCAUACGUCCUACGGGAGAAAGCAGGGGACCUUCGGGCCUUGCGCUAUCAGAUGAGCCUAGGUCGGAUUAGCUAGUUGGUGGGGUAAUGGCUCACCAAGGCGACGAUCCGUAACUGGUCUGAGAGGAUGAUCAGUCACACUGGAACUGAGACACGGUCCAGACUCCUACGGGAGGCAGCAGUGGGGAAUAUUGGACAAUGGGCGAAAGCCUGAUCCAGCCAUGCCGCGUGUGUGAAGAAGGUCUUCGGAUUGUAAAGCACUUUAAGUUGGGAGGAAGGGCAGUAAAUUAAUACUUUGCUGUUUUGACGUUACCGACAGAAUAAGCACCGGCUAACUCUGUGCCAGCAGCCGCGGUAAUACAGAGGGUGCAAGCGUUAAUCGGAAUUACUGGGCGUAAAGCGCGCGUAGGUGGUUAGUUAAGUUGGAUGUGAAAUCCCCGGGCUCAACCUGGGAACUGCAUUCAAAACUGACUGACUAGAGUAU
rnacentral:rRNA from 1 species